rnacentral:rRNA from 1 species
GUAGUCCACGCCCUAAACGAUGUCGACUAGUUGUCGGGGAUUUAUUUCCUUGGUAACGCAGCUAACGCGUGAAGUCGACCGCCUGGGGAGUACGGUCGCAAGAUUAAAACUCAAAGGAAUUGACGGGGACCCGCACAAGCGGUGGAUGAUGUGGAUUAAUUCGAUGCAACGCGAAAAACCUUACCUACCCUUGACAUGGCUAGAAUAGGGCAGAGAUGCCCCAGUGCCCGCAAGGGAACUAGCACACAGGUGCUGCAUGGCUGUCGUCAGCUCGUGUCGUGAGAUGUUGGGUUAAGUCCCGCAACGAGCGCAACCCUUGUCAUUAGUUGCUACGCAUAGGGCACUCUAAUGAGACUGCCGGUGACAAACCGGA